AUUGAACGCUGGCGGCAGGCUUAACACAUGCAAGUCGAGCGGGGGAAGGUAGCUUGCUACUGGACCUAGCGGCGGACGGGUGAGUAAUGCUUAGGAAUCUGCCUAUUAGUGGGGGACAACAUCUCGAAAGGGAUGCUAAUACCGCAUACGUCCUACGGGAGAAAGCAGGGGAUCUUCGGACCUUGCGCUAAUAGAUGAGCCUAAGUCGGAUUAGCUAGCUGGUGGGGUAAAGGCCAACCAAGGCGACGAUCUGUAGCGGGUCUGAGAGGAUGAUCCGCCACACUGGGACUGAGACACGGCCCAGACUCCUACGGGAGGCAGCAGUGGGGAAUAUUGGACAAUGGGGGGAACCCUGAUCCAGCCAUGCCGCGUGUGUGAAGAAGGCCUUAUGGUUGCAAAGCACUUUAAGCGAGGAGGAGGCUACUUUAGUUAAUACCUAGAGAUAGUGGACGUUACUCGCAGAAUAAGCACCGGCUAACUCUGUGCCAGCAGCCGCCGUAA
rnacentral:rRNA from 1 species